CAACAUCUAGAAUUCUUUACCAGUUUAUAUUGCAAACGCUAACAAGACCGUUUCGUCCCUUCGGGGACAUCCGAUAAAAUUGGAACGAUACAGAGAAGAUUAGCAUGGCCCCUGCGCAAGGAUGACACGCACAAAUCGAGAAAUGGUCCAAAUUUUUUUGAAACUUCAAUCCUCGAGUGCGGUUUUGUGGAGAAAUUAUCCUUUUUUUUUUUUUGGAAAAUUUGCAGUUUUAUCUAUAUAUUAUUGAGGAUUUCGAUGAGCAGCACUGAUGGAAUAUCUGGAUGUCAAUUUGAUGAGGUUUUUGUCAAAAAAAAUCGUCUAUAUUGUAGGGUUUCAGUCAGAAAUAUUUGAAGCUAUGUUUAUUGUUAAGGUUUCUGCCGCGGAAAGAGGUUUUUUUUAUUUUUUUUUUGCAGUUUCAUCGAAAUUGUUGAGGAAUUUGUCAAAUGCUUUAGGUGAACGUUCUGGAUAUCGAAAUUCAGGUGGCCAUCUUAAGAGAGAUGAAUUAAUUUGGGAUUUUGAAAGACAUAAUUGAGUUGGAUUAAGGAGGUGGCAAAGAUGUGUUGAUUGAAUCAUUGAAUGCAAUAGGGUGUUAAAAGGCAAGGGGUUAAAGCAGGACGAUAAGCCAUUUGCCUUUGCAUUUCAAAUGGAGCUAAUACUUUAGAUGGACAAUCCCAGUGAUAAAGACUGGCAUGUUUUUAUGAAAAUCGUUCAGAGAGAUCAAUUUGAUGAUGAAAAGACUAGUCAGCUGAUAUAUACGAUGCAGCACACUAUGUCAAACCGAGAAUAUAGAGAAGGACAAGAGGAGAGACGAAGAUGAAGAAACAAAGAGAAUUUGAGAGGAGAAUGGGGAAGAACUAGAGGAGAAAAUUUCAGGAUGUUGUAUUUAAUAUUCAAUCAUGCAUUUUACAAUGAACUCGAUUACUUAGCCAUAGUUUGAUGGCCAUUAUUUGGCAAAAACUCUGUUUUAAAUUGUAAGUUUUUAGAGAAUGCGUGUUUAAAAAGUAGGAAAAAUUUUUGGGUUUAUAUGCAAAAUAUUUUAUUGUGUGAA